UACGUAGGUGGCAAGCGUUGUCCGGAUUUACUGGGCGUAAAGGGCGUGCAGGCGGUCUGUUUAGUCUAGGGUGAAAGCUCCCGGCUCAACUGGGAGAGGUCCUUGGAUACUGGCAGACUCGAGGGAGGCAGAGGAAAGUGGAAUUCCCGGUGUAGUGGUGAUAUGCGUAGAUAUCGGGAGGAACACCAGUGGCGAAGGCGGCUUUCUGGGCCUUACCUGACGCUGAGACGCGAAAGCGUGGGGAGCGAACCGG
rnacentral:rRNA from 1 species